CAGCUUAUGUCAAUUUAAUCAUUCUUGGUGGUUUUAGAUGCAUAGAGUGCAAAUUCUCUUUCAGCUUCUCUGCUCUUUUAACCAUUAAUUAUUAACCGGAGCAACCCGCUCAGGACUCCCCUAUCCCCCCGAUUCAGGUUGACUGAGCAGAUAAUUGUAAAAUGUGCAAAGCAACGUGCCAGUACGACCAAGGUGAGGAGAUGCAAAUUGAGAUGAUCGUGGUGACGAGAUUUAGACGGUGGAGCCGCAGGGAAGAGCAACAUUGAAGAUAAAAUCAACACAGCAAAAAGACUCAAAACUAAAAGAAACGUCUGAUUAACAGGAUCUCCAGAUUAGUACAUUAAACUUGGAUUAAAACAUCUUCAUGGUAUAAUAAUGAAGUCCUUUGACGUGUACUGUUAUGCACUUGUGCCAGAUUUUGACUGGCCCAUAACCUGUCACAGCCUGACUAGCAUUACACACAACAUAACAAUCACAGUAUUUUUUGUUCUUUUUUAUUUUAUGUAUGAACCAGAAUCUCCAGUGGCAAAGUGUACAGAGCUUUGGAAUAAAUCCAGUUAAAGAUUUUAAUUUGGGGGGGAGGCAAUCUGGUCAAAAACUUUGAGAAACCGAAAAUCUCAGAAAAGCAAAUUCACAUGGACAGUUUGUGCAUGUACUUAAAAAUGUCC